GAUAACCUCGGGAACCUGGGUAUAAUACCCGAUAGGUCUCGAUUGCUGGAAUGCAUCGAGAUUUAAAGCUCCGGCGCCUAAGGAUGGGUCUGCGGCCUAUCAGGUAGUAGUGGGUGUAGCGUACCUACUAGCCUACGACGGGUACGGGUUGUGAGAGCAAGAGCCCGGAGAUGGAUUCUGAGACACGAAUCCAGGCCCUACGGGGUGCAGCAGGCGCGAAAACUUUACAAUGCUGGCAACAGCGAUAAGGGAACCUCGAGUGCCAGGUUACAAAUCUGGCUGUCGAGAUGCCUAAAAAGCAUUUCAUAGCAAGGGCCGGGCAAGACCGGUGCCAGCCGCCGCGGUAACACCGGCGGCUCGAGUGGUAACCGUUAUUAUUGGGUCUAAAGGGUCUGUAGCCGGCCGGAUAAGUCUCUUGAGAAAUCUGGCAGCUUAACUGUCAGGCUUUCAGGAGAUACUGUCUGGCUCGAGGCCGGGAGAGGUGAGAGGUACUUCAGGGGUAGGGGUGAAAUCUUGUAAUCCUUGAAGGACCACCAGUGGCGAAGGCGUCUCACCAGAACGGACCUGACGGCAAGGGACGAAAGCUAGGGGCACGAACCGGAUUAGAUACCCGGGUAGUCCUAGCCGUAAACGAUACUCGCUAGGUGUCGGCCACGGUGCGACCGUUGUCGGUGCCGUAGGGAAGCCGUGAAGCGAGCCACCUGGGAAGUACGGCCGCAAGGCUGAAACUUAAAGGAAUUGGCGGGGGAGCACCACAACGGGUGGAGCUUGCGGUUUAAUUGGAUUCAACGCCGGAAAUCUUACCGGGACCGACAGCAAUAUGAAGGCCAGGCUGAAGACUUUGCCGGAUUAGCUGAGAGGUGGUGCAU
rnacentral:rRNA from 1 species